rnacentral:lncRNA from 1 species
GUGGCUUCAGAGACUCCACCCCCAGCCUCCGCGCAGGCGCAGUGUGGGUGUGUGGUGCUGCAGCGGUACCGGACGCGGCAGGAGCCGGCGGAGCCAUGGCGGGGACCCCGCAGGAGAACACGCUGCUGCACCUCUUCGCCGGGGGGCAUUCAUUAAUCACCUUGGUUCCUGCUCUCUGAUGACAAAUCCUGCAAGAUGGGGUAUGGA